GACGAACGCUGGCGGCGUGCUUAACACAUGCAAGUCGAACGGAAAGGCCCUGCUUUUGUGGGGUGCUCGAGUGGCGAACGGGUGAGUAACACGUGAGUAACCUGCCCUUGACUUUGUGAUAACUUCAGGAAACUGGGGCUAAUACCGGAUAGGAGCUCCUGCUGCAUGGUGGGGGUCGGAAAGUUUCGGCGGUUGGGGAUGGACUCGCGGCUUAUUAGCUUGUUGGUGGGGUAGUGGCUUACCCAGGCAUUGGCGGGUAGCCGGCCUGAGAGGGUGACCGGCCACAUUGGGACUGAGAUACGGCCCAGACUCCUACGGGAGGCAGCAGUGGAGAAUAUUGCACAAUGGGCGGAAGCCUGAUGCAGCAACGCCGCGUGCGGGAUGACGGCCUUCGGGUUGUAAACCGCUUUCGCCUGUGACGAAGCGUGAGUGACGGUAAUGGGUAAAGAAGCACCGGCUAACUACGUG
rnacentral:rRNA from 1 species